GUGCAUGCUUUGACAACACAUAUACUAAAACUGGAAUGACAGUCAGAAGAUUAGCAUGGCCCCUGCACAAGGAUGACACGCAAAUUUGUGAAGCACUACAUAUUUAU
rnacentral:snRNA from 1 species